UACGUAGGGUGCGAGCGUUGUCCGGAAUUAUUGGGCGUAAAGAGCUUGUAGGCGGUUUGUCGCGUCUGCCGUGAAAAUUCGAGGCUCAACCUCGAACUUGCGGUGGGUACGGGCAGACUAGAGUGUGGUAGGGGAGACUGGAAUUCCUGGUGUAGCGGUGAAAUGCGCAGAUAUCAGGAGGAACACCGAUGGCGAAGGCAGGUCUCUGGGCCACUACUGACGCUGAGAAGCGAAAGCAUGGGGAGCAAACAGG
rnacentral:rRNA from 1 species